CUUAUUCCGCGUGGCUCUGUUUCCUUGCUCCACGAAGAGAGAGAACAAUCCAGAGAGAAAUCAAGAACGAUCGAGACUUCGAGUGAGAGAGAGAAAAGGGUUGGAUUUUGAUCACCGGAGGAUAUUUAUCAAGCAGCGAAGAGUAUUCUUUAUCAGAGUUUGCUUCUCAAUUAGUCUCUCUCAGUUUUGGUGUGUGAUCGCUGGAGACCGAAAGAGAGGGGAGAGUGCAUGUGCAUGGUUUAGGAAGAGCGAGUAGAAAGAAAGACACCGACACUCCCACUCCCACUCCCAUUUCCAAGACGCUGAAAAGGAUGAAGGGUCGCCUGAAAGAGAUGAGUGAGUGGUGCAGGCAGCUGAUGCGUGAAGAAGAUUUGGAACAAGAUGAAGAACUUGAAAUUGGAGUUACUCAAGAUAUUCCUGACAUUGAUGCCACUCAAGAUAUUUCCAAUGGUACUUCUACUGAGUUAUCAGUUGCUUCUUUCCGGCACAAGUUGAAGUCCAAAGCCUGCUACAUGAACAUUGAGUGAGCACUGGCUCAAGAGUGUCCAUCCUUGAUCUUAACAAGAGUACCAACCCAGUAACUGCCUCAUUUCAGUUUUGGCCUUGGAGAGGAUUAUAAUUACUUAAGGAGAUCAAUCAGAGAAUUUUUGACAGAUCAGGUCGCAUAUUUGUGAUAGACACAAAAACAGAUCCAAAAGCUCCCUUUCUGCAUAAAGUUGUUGACCCUGAAGACAUCGUACAGAAGACUGGAUUGGCAUACCCACACACAUCUCACUGCCUUGCAUCUGGUGAUUUCUUCUCCGUGACUCAGAGUUUAAUGUCAAGGGAAGAUGGGACAAACCAGGGCACACUUCACUUUUUGGUUAUGAUUUCUGGUACCAACGGCGGCACAAGACAAUGAUAAGCACAUCAUGGGUGCCCCGCUGCUUUCACCAAAGGUUUCAACCUUCAGCAUGUCUCUGAUGGUCUCUAUGGGAGGCAUCUUCAUGUCUACAGUUGGCCUGAGGUGGAAUUAUGGAUAUUUUACAAGCAGACCAGCCCUCAAUCACUGUUAGAAUGAUUAGCAGCUAAUAUAUGUGAGCAUGCAGGAAAUAUAGUGCAGAGGUAUGAAAAUCCGAAGAAUAUAGAUCGAUCAAUGAGAGUAAAGCUAUGUUGUUAGAGAAAAUACUUUUCAUUGUUUUGUAACAAAUACAUGAAAAUUUAGUAUGUCACUGAUCAUAAUAAUGGUUUGUAUGGAAUCUUUUUCUAACUUCAGUUGAAUUGAUUAUG